CUUGGGUUUCUCCCUUCUCAAUUUCCUCUUUGUUUUCCUCUUCCUCCAACUCAGCUGUGGGCUUUCCUUUACGCUGAGAAGUCGGUCCAGUCGCUCCGCACCGUUGGGCCUCCCCCCAGAACCCCCCACCUCAGCUGCAACAGGCACCUGGACACACCAUCCUAGUGCUUAAUCUUCUUAAAAAAAAAAAAAAAAAAAAGGUUUUAUUUACUUAUUAGAGAAAGAGCAUGAGCCGCGGAAGGGGCAGAGAGAGAAGUAGACUCCCCGCCGAGCAGGGAGCCAGAAUGUGGGGCUCCAGCCCAGGACUCGGGGAUCUUGACCUGGGCCCACCUCAGACGUUUAACCCACCGAACCACCCAGGCGCCCCCUAGCCUAGUGGUGAGAGAAGCACGACUUGCUCCUGCCCAGCUGUGGGAGGGAAGGGAACUCUGAAGCUCUUCCAGUGAACAGGAUAUCCUGCUGUCCUAAUAAACACCAACCUGUCAGUUGUGAAACAGGGGAAAUUGCCAUAUUGUUGCUGUCAUCUCCAUCAUCCUCAAGCCAGGAUCCCCAAACUACUCAAGACAUCUGAACUAUACUAAGCAGAACUCCUCCGAAACAUCCCAGCCUUCGAGUGGUACAGAAAACGUGGACUGGUGUGCAGUGCAGGAAGGCACAGCUCCUGCUCCGUCCGGGGUCCUGGGGAAUGCUUGCUGCCAAUUCCAGGGUCUGGAAAACUCUCUGUCCUUGGGGAAGGAUGGUGUGGUCUUUGUUGCGGAGGCCCUCUGUGGCCAAGAAGGUGGUUCCCCGUUCCUGCUCUGUGUCUCCAUCAGCCUCCUGCCCCUUCCUAUCACACCUGCCUAUCCUUUUUUUUUUUUUUUUAAAGAUUUUAUUUAUUUAUUCAUGAGAGACACAGUGAGAGAGGCAGAGACACAGGCAGAGGGAAAAGCACGCUCCCUGUGGGGAGCCCGAUGCAGGACUAGAUCUCAGGAUCCUAUGAUCCCGUCCUGAGCCAGACGCUCGACCGCUGAGCCACCCAGGCAUCCCUGUCCUGCCCUGCUCCGCUAAAAAGGAAAGCUGGUUCACAAGCUCUGCAUUUUGAACCUGCCUGUUGGGCCUCCAUGUGUGUGGGGUGUGCUCAGAUCUGGAGGCAGCAUGGCCUUGACAAGCAGUUGUGUACGUUUAUUAUGACUCAUUUUCAGCAGAUGGCAGUAAAGUGUCUUGAGAAAGAUUUUUUUUUCCUCAACAUUUGU